CAAGUGAAAGAUGUCUUCUUUCCAUGGUACAAUGCAUUUGUACCUACUGACCAAGUCACUCUUUACACAUCAUCCAAGUUCACUUUCUAUGUCAACAGAAGCUGAGUUUUGGUCAAUGAGCAAGAAUUUGCUUGAUGUUGAUGCCCAUAGAACAUCAAAGCUACGUGUGGGUUCCAAAAGUGCUAGGCUUGUUGAUCUAAGGCCAUUGACUAAUAGUUGGGGUUGAAGAAUCAUAACACAUCAUCCCAUAUGUAUGCCUCGUGUCCGACUGCAGCUAUCUACAGGCAAGGUUCCUGUACAUAUAGCCGGCUUGGGCAUUUCUCCAUUUGUUUUCUUUUGUAGCCACUUGUAGUUUAGUGUAUGGGGUUCCAAAGAUGUAUGUUCCAAGACCAUGAAUACAGUCAACUCUCCUUCAAUGAUUGUGCUUCUGUAAUGGAUAC